rnacentral:rRNA from 1 species
UACGGAGGAUGCGAGCGUUAUCCGGAUUUAUUGGGUUUAAAGGGUGCGCAGGCGGCACGGCAAGCCGGCGGUCAAAUCGCGGGGCUCAACCCCGCCCAGCCGUCGGAACUGCCGGGCUAGAGUGGGCGAGAAGUGCGCGGAAUGCGUGGUGUAACGGUGAAAUGCAUAGAUAUCACGCAGAACUCCGAUUGCGAAGGCAGCGCACCGGCGCCCUACUGACGCUCAGGCACGAAAGCGUGGGUAUCGAACAGG